rnacentral:tRNA from 1 species
GCGACUGUGGCUCAGUGGUAGAGCGUUCCGCUGAUAACGGAGAGGUCGAAGGUUCGAUUCCUUCCAGUCGCA